GUCCUAUUAAACUAUCUCAAACAUGAAUUUGACUUUUUUCCCAAUUUUCCCCUCCACUCCACUGCAGGGAGGGAGGAGGGAGUGAAGGAGCAGCCGUGUAGUGCUUAGCUGCCUUCUGGGUUACAUCACGACAGCCAGCAGUCAGGACGGCUAUAAAGUACUGGGUAUCCACCAGCUAGCUACAGACUCAAGUUUAGACUCCUCUUUUUGCUCCUGUGAUUCAGCUCUGCCAGUUCCCAAAUGGUAUCAGCAUUACUUAUCCUGCUACGGCCCUGAGGAAUGUACCCAGUGUGGGAAUGUCUUCAACACUUUCAGCAAUGUGUUCAUCAAAGUUCCAGUGGGCUGUUCUUCUGUCUUACUGUCUGUGAAGUCCCAUUUAUCGGUAAGACCCUGUACACCACUGAAGAGCAAAUCCAGGUUGAUGACUUUCCUUGUGCAUCCUAGUACUGGUUGUGAUGUGAACCCACCACUCAUCACCAUUGCCUCAUGUAGGAUUUCUACAGCAGUUGCAGUAAUUGUGAGGACUUCUGGUCUUAAAACCAUCUAAACCCCUUGCCUGCAGAAUUUUUCUCCCAACUCCAUGUCCUUGGGAGCUACCUUUGGAAUAGAAGUUGAGCUGCCUCCAGCCAGAGCCGGCUUUGCAGCUCUGGGCACAUGGAGAUAUCCUCUCUCCUGGAGCUGGUGAGGAUGGAGAUAGAGCUCUGAGAGGAAGGAGUCUUUUCCACCUUAUGUUCAGCUGUGAGAGCCUGGCAGAUGAGAGGAGCUGGCCAGCAGCUGGCUUGAGCUCCAGGCUGCUCCAGUUCUCAUUCUAGCACUCCCUGCAUAAGACUUCUAAUUAGUUAAAUCCAAGUGUUUUGAGGUUAGUGUUGG
rnacentral:lncRNA from 1 species